AUAUAUAGUCUCAAAUUUGUAAAUUGAACAGCAAUGUUCAGUUUGUGAAACAAAACUUCAUGGACCUUCUCAGGAACUUAAAUUAAAUGGUUGACUAUAAGACUUCUUAGUAAUAAUCAAUGGGGAAUGAUUUAGCCACCAAUUUGGGACAUAUUUGCUAUCACACUAGUGUGCUGUGCUUGAUAUCCUAUAUUUUAACUGCUGUUGGCUAAAGUACAUCAUAUAACUGUAAAUACUUAUUGAUGUUAGACGACUAUUCUUAUGCUGAAAUUUUGAGUGUUUCUUUGUUCAUUUCUUGUAUAUUUGACCUUUUCAUUAAUUUAUUUUUUCAUUUUUUUUUUCAGUGAAGCCAAGG
rnacentral:misc_RNA from 1 species